UUCCCAAAUUGAGGAACCCUAACCCUAAUGAUUCCCUUUCCUCAGCUUCUGAACGCAGCCUCCACCCCCCUUCUUCCAAAACGCAAUACACACACAAAACAAAGAAAGAAACGGAAACAAAGAGGCAAGAGAGAGGGAAGAGCUGCUGCCCUAUUGCCGCCGCAAGGAGCCCGUGCCACCAUCGUCGUCAUCCUCGUGAACUGUAGCGUCGCCGUUCAACCUCGUCCCGCCGCGUCUCCAUGGUCGCCAUUUCUGCGAGCUCGCCACCGUCGAGAAGCUGCCGUCGCAUCUUGUCCCGCCGUCACCACCGUUGCCCUGGAGCUCGCCCGCCGUCGUCGUUGAGGGGCCAGUAGAGAGAGAGAACGAACGCGGGUCAGGGUCGCCACCAAGGAGAGGAGCUGUGCUCCACGCCACCGUCGCCGAGCCGUUGCAUCGCCGGACAUCAUCGCUGGAGGACCGAAUGGAGUAACUAGCCGGUUCUGCUUCUGCCUCUGGUUUCUAGAAUCUGAGAAGACGCUACUGCCACUGCUGGAACUGUUGGUUUUGCUUCUCUGGCCUUGUUCUGGCUCCACUGUAAACCGUUACCGCCACUGGAGCUGCCCGAAAACCCUGUUGUUGCUACUCCGUUAUUUUAUUAGUGAAGAGUGAUCAGAAAUAAUGCUGCUGCUGUUGACCGGAGGUGCUAAACUGUUGCCGCUACUACUUUGGGAUGAUAUGGCUGCUAUUAAAGUUGUUGUUGAUGAGUGCAGCAUUCCCAAUUUCUAUGGAUUUCGACUGACUGAGUGACACAGGUUCGAAGACUCCGUUUGAAGCUGCGGGAGAUUAUAGAAUUUACUUAUGAGAAGUGGUGAUUACAAUGAAGAGAUGUAUCAAGGAUGGGACAACCAAAGGUGGGAGGAGCCAUAUGCAUAUGAUCAAUCCUCAUGGCAACAACCUCCACCAAUGCACUAUGGAGAAGAGUCAUUCUAUGAUGCAUACCAAUCUAAUGGCUAUGGUAUUUUCUGGCUGAAAUUGAGGAGUUUGAGCAAAAGUCUAAUUCAGAAGCAGAGAAAGCACUGCAGAUGGUGUCAGGAUCUGACCUUCAUGUACUCGAACGAGCUUUUCUGGAGUUACAGAGGUCCAAAUGGCACACUCUCAAUGGCUAUGGAAAGCUAACAUCUAGGAACUUCCAGAAAUAUAUAAUAGUCUAUACUUUGCUUUGGAAAUGAAGGCCCAAAACUGGCGUUCAACGCCAGCCACUAGCCCUAUUCCUGGCGUCCAGCACCCACAGGGGAGCAGCUGGCGUCCAACGCCCAGAAUGGAGUCCCUAGCUAGCAUUCAAUGCCCUUAAGGGAUACUAGCUCGUGAGAAACACUCAAACUCAGUCCAAACACUCACCAAGUGGGCCCUAGAAGUGGAUUUUCACACUACAAGACUUGUUUAUCUUAUUUCUGUAAUUCCUAGUUAGCAGAUUAGUAUAUAUAUAUACAAGAGUUCACCCUUGUUAGGGGACUCUUGCCCAUUUUUACUUUUUCCAUUGUAUUUUCGAACAGCAUGAGUCACUAACCUCCUAAGGUUAAGGUUAGGAGCUCUGCUGAGUUUCAUGGAUCAAUAGUAUUACUAUUUUCAUUCAAUAUGUAUGAUUCUAUUCUCUUAUGCAACCUCGUUCUUCAUCUCAUAAAUUGAGGGUGACAUGUGACAAUCACCCAUGUUCUAUAUGAGUUCCGUGCGAUUCCUGGCCCGUAUAGCAUUGAACUAAAGCUAGAGAAUAUAUUGCGGAUUUCAAUAGAGCAUCUGAGCAACUUUGGAUAUGUGACAUAUAAUCCCAUUGACUAUGGGUGCGUGAAGUUUCUGUGGCGUUAAGGCUAGAGCCAAAGAAGUAACACUUUCUUAUCCGGAGGAUCUGCCUUGUUUGUGGCACCUUGAGUAGGAUUGUGAAGGGGAGUAGACUGCUUAGAGCUUUAUCUUCUGCUACAGUGAGAAACCUGGAGGUGGCUUGAUGAGAGGACAUGAGUCAUCUCAAUGUGGUAGAUUGCUGUAGUAGA